rnacentral:lncRNA from 1 species
GGGAUCUUGUCCUUUCAGUCAUGACCCAAAGCUCACAACCUCGGACCUCCUUCUUGAAGCGGCCCCGGCUCGACCCAAAAAAUUUCCACACCGGCGGUUCUGGUGAGACGAGCAGCCGUUCUGGAUUCAUUCCUGUUGUCUCUGCUCUGGAUGAGACUCAUGGAGAAGUCAGCCCGCUGCAGUGUAGCCCUGCGCCUGUCAGCGACUCCCAGAGAGGAGCUUCUUCCUCGUUCAUGUUUGUGGGCAGCUUGCAUCCCAUUCGGUUGCACUACCGCCAACUGCUGGUGAGGAGGGCUUACUACGGGUGGGGUUUUCUUGCCGUGAGUAUCGGCGGCUGGUAUCGGUAGCCUUCACGAGUACCCGAUACCUUGAAAUAAGGCCAGUAUCGGCGCUGAGGAGCGAUGCCGAACAAUACCGAUCAGUGCCGGGCAGCGCCGAGGACGAGGAGCGCGGUGCGUCGGACCGCUGCACAGCGGGGCACACGGAACACAGAGCGUCGUGGCGCCCCUUGUACGACCGCGGCGCCCCCCUCGGGGCGUGGCCUGGUUAUGCUACUCCCUCCCACCCUCCCAGUUCCCUCUCUCUUUAUCUUUCUCUUUUUCUCUCUCUCUUGCUCUCUGAGCAUUUCCGUCCCAGUCCUGUCCGGCAGCCAUGCCAAAUGCCAGUUUCAAAUAAAGGCAGCAGCAGGAGGAGAUUCAGUCUCCUCCUGCUGCUAACAUUAAAAUCUGUUCGGACGGUACAAGGCUCCAAUCAUACAAUAUUGCACGCCCCAGCAGCCGAACAGGACAAGGGAAAAAAACAAACAAACACAAAAAAAAAAAAACUAAAAUAACAGUCAGCCUACCAGGCUGCUUCGCCUCGAUGCCCAAAAGGCGUUUGACUGCAUGAAGUGACUGACACUGGAGGUUUUUGUGUUUCAUUCAACAAAAUCCACUUUUUGAGCUUUGUAUAAUGCUUUAGUGUCAUUUCCCUGUUAAAAACUGUGUGAAAACUGUUUAUAAAAAUCCCAAAUCAUGGAUCAGAAUCAAUGGAUGUUGUUCACGGGGAGGAAAAUAAUGUUUAGGGAAAUAUGAUAAAAGUAUCUCUCUCUCUCUCUCUCUCUCUCUCUCUCUCUCUCUCUCUCUCUCUCUCUCUCUCUCUAUCCUGCAGCUCAUGCAGGAAAAUCAUGUUUUCCUCAACACUCACAAUUUUUCUGUCUCAACAGAGAGGAAAUUAUGGUCUAUCAUGGACUCAGGAUUUACCAGAUGGACAAAGGACUAAUAUAUGUUGAUCAAAGGUUUCAGGGACAAACAAUUCAAUCAUUCACUCAACUUCAAAAAGAAUUUAAUCCACCAGCCCAUGACUUUUAUAAAUUCUUACAACUAAGACAUGAUCUACAGAAACAGCAGGAGUGGGACAAUAUUUGAAAAACACCAUCUAAAUUAGAAGAAGCGCUGUGGUCAUUCUCAGAGAACAAGUCAACAAAGGGGUUUUAAACCAGCAACCUGAAAGGAUUGGUGUCCAGGGUUUUAAACCAAAUCUUUGGGACCUUCAGGACUUAAGGCUUCUCUGUGAGGACUAUGUAAUGGACAGGGGGUUCUCGCCAUGCAACACUAAGAACAUGAGAUCUGAAAAUUUAAAAUCAAUCCGAGACUUUACAGGAAGCCAGUGACGAUGACAGAGAACCAGGUAAUGACGGACGUUCUUGGUGAACCUAUCAGUCGUCUGGCUGCAGAGUUUUGUACCAUUUGAAAGUCGUUAAGAGCAGCCAUGAUGAAAAAAGUGAAAAGCAGAAUCACAGUAAUCAGUUCAUGAUGAAAUCAAAGCCUGAACGAUCCGUUCCAGGUCGGACUGGGACGAGAGUUUUCUGACCUGAGAGACGCUGAGAGCUGCAGAGUGAGGAGGAGGAAGCAGACUGACCUGGAAGCGCUGCUGUGUAGACGAUCAGAGAGGUCAGAGCUGAGGAGGACAGGCAGGUUAGUCAGACCUCCACCCGGCCUGACGGAGCAGACGUGGAGCAGAGAGGAGUGUGUCUCACCCAGCAGACGUCUGUCCUCCAUGGUGUCCGCUCUCACAGUCAGCCUGCUGGCCGCUGUUCAACACAGUCAUUGAAGCCCGC